UACGUAGGAUGCAAGCGUUGUCCGGAAUUAUUGGGCGUAAAGUGCGCGCAGGCGGUUAUGAAAGUCUGAUGUUAAAGCCCGGGGCUCAACCUCGGUUCGCAUUGGAAACUGUGUAACUUGAGUGCAGAAGAGGAAAGUGGUAUUCCACGUGUAGCGGUGAAAUGCGUAGAUAUGUGGAGGAACUCCAGUGGCGAAGGCGACUUUCUGGUCUGUAACUGACGCUGAGGCGCGAAAGCGUGGGGAGCAAACAGG
rnacentral:rRNA from 1 species